UACGUAGGGCGCAAGCGUUAUCCGGAAUUACUGGGCGUAAAGAGCUCGUAGGUGGUUUGUCGCGUUGUUCGUGAAAACUCACAGCUUAACUGUGGGCGUGCGGGCGAUACGGGCAGACUGGAGUACUGCAGGGGAGACUGGAAUUCCUGUGUAGCGGUGGAAUGCGUAGAUAUCGGGAGGAACACCAGAGGCGAAGGCGGGUUACUGGGCUGAUACUGACGCUGAAUCACGAAAGCUAGGGGAGCAAACGGG
rnacentral:rRNA from 1 species